AACUAGGAAUUAUUUUAUUCUACAGAUCCCUAUGUUGUAAAUAGGUAGUGGUUCCAUUCAUGAUGAUUUUACACCAAUUUUGAUGAGAAGUUUUCUAAAAAAAAAGAGGACAAACCGAGUCUUCUAAGGUCUUCUAGUAAUGUCUGUGCACUUGACAAGAGUUAUAAACAUUUCUGACAAGGUUCUAUCGACUUUUUUUUUAGAGAAUGUAAAAAAUGUUGCCAAGCAACACACACCUAAGUCUGAAAAGAACUUAAGCAUUGAUGAUACCUCUGUCUCAGUUUGGCUUCCACACAAGAAGGGUUUCAGUGAAGUCCUAUGUGUGUUAACACGCUAUUCACAAGAGGAGGUAUUUCUAAAACUCACCAGCACCGGAGCUGGGCACCUUCUCCUGGUAACCUGCUCUCCAAGAUGGGAGGGAGCCAGCCUGAGUCUGCCAGUGAGUAUAAAGAAACAGCCACACAGGAGCCCCAG
rnacentral:lncRNA from 1 species